CAUGGAAGUCGGGGAGACCUAAAGCGGAAGGUAAAAGAUUUCGUUAGGGUAAAUCUGGUAACUGGGGCUAAGUCGUAACAAGGUAGCCGUACCGGAAGGUGUGGCUGGAACACCUCCUUU
rnacentral:rRNA from 1 species